CAGAAAAUCUCAUUUUUAAGAAAUGCAAAAUACAUGACUUGCCAGUGGUAUUCCUUUAGGGAAUAACAAAACCAAUGAAGUUUGAUCUUGCUAUUUACUACUUUCAACCUAUACAUGCUAAUUUAGCAUAACUAAUAUUGUGACUGUCUUGUAAACAUGCCUGCAAGCUAUUCAGUCCAGGUUAACUAGGCACCAUCUUUCAGUAUAACAAAAACAACCAACAUACAUCCCAGGAGUGCAAAACAAGGGACAUCUAGUUGCAGUUUGUAAUUGUGCUAUGUGUGAAACCCUCACCUUCACCUCGUGCUGGGUUUACUACUCCCACCUAAUUCAGACAAGUAUUGUUUCUUACCUUCUCAUAUGACAGCAACCUACAGGAACAAACAACCACAAAUUAAUGUACAUUUCCCUGUAUAUAAGUAAAAUUCCUGCGCAUCACGGCUAUAAAUAAAGUUUCGAAAUUCUCAUAUACACAUAUAAAUGAGCUGCUUUGAAUCCCCUCUAUGCUGUCCCUUCUCUCUCAGUGUUCCUUAAAAUACUGGAAACUGUUUUCCUAGAAAAUGUUGCCCAUAAACACACUCGCACACCCAAAA